UACGUAGGGGGCGAGCGUUGUCCGGAAUUAUUGGGCGUAAAGAGCUCGUAGGCGGUCUGUCGCGUCUGCUGUGAAAACUCAGGGCUUAACCCUGAGCUUGCAGUGGGUACGGGCAGACUAGAGUGCGGUAGGGGAGACUGGAAUUCCUGGUGUAGCGGUGAAAUGCGCAGAUAUCAGGAGGAACACCGGUGGCGAAGGCGGGUCUCUGGGCCGUAACU
rnacentral:rRNA from 1 species